UGAACGGCGUUGAGAGGAACAAAAACGCUUUACGGAACUUUCAGAGAGCUGCCGCAUGGUGCGAGGCAGCAUUCCGACUGCGCGAUAACUCGUCCUUGAGCUGAUACGGUGAAAUCCGCUUGGCGGGCAGUAGCUGUGUUCGGGUUCUCCCGUUACAGAGAUACGCAUUGUUCGAUGCGGCAGAGGUGUACAGCGUGAGCUGUGCAUGAAUGAGAGUGGUAACACGGGUAUUUCGCUCGUCUCUAUU
rnacentral:ncRNA from 1 species